AACUCAAAUGAAUUGACGGGGGCCCGCACAAGCGGUGGAGCAUGUGGUUUAAUUCGAUGCAACGCGAAGAACCUUACCUGGUCUUGACAUCCACAGAACUUUCCAGAGAUGGAUUGGUGCCUUCGGGAACUGUGAGACAGGUGCUGCAUGGCUGUCGUCAGCUCGUGUUGUGAAAUGUUGGGUUAAGUCCCGCAACGAGCGCAACCCUUAUCCUUUGUUGCCAGCGGUCCGGCCGGGAACUCAAAGGAGACUGCCAGUGAUAAACUGGAGGAAGGUGGGGAUGACGUCAAGUCAUCAUGGCCCUUACGACCAGGGCUACACACGUGCUACAAUGGCGCAUACAAAGAGAAGCGACCUCGCGAGAGCAAGCGGACCUCAUAAAGUGCGUCGUAGUCCGGAUUGGAGUCUGCAACUCGACUCCAUGAAGUCGGAAUCGCUAGUAAUC
rnacentral:rRNA from 1 species